CCCUAGCCCCGAUGGCAGCGGCAUCCUUUUUCCUGCUUCUUUAGCAGGGAAAAGAUAUAGCGGACAGCGGGAUUAAGC
rnacentral:sRNA from 1 species